AACGAACGCUGGCGGCAUGCCUAACACAUGCAAGUCGAACGAGACCUUCGGGUCUAGUGGCGCACGGGUGCGUAACGCGUGGGAACCUGCCUUUAGGUUCGGAAUAACUCAGAGAAAUUUGAGCUAAUACCGGAUGAUGUCUUCGGACCAAAGAUUUAUCGCCUUUAGAUGGGCCCGCGUUGGAUUAGCUAGUUGGUGGGGUAAAGGCCUACCAAGGCGACGAUCCAUAGCUGGUCUGAGAGGAUGAUCAGCCACACUGGGACUGAGACACGGCCCAGACUCCUACGGGAGGCAGCAGUGGGGAAUAUUGGACAAUGGGCGAAAGCCUGAUCCAGCAAUGCCGCGUGAGUGAUGAAGGCCUUAGGGUUGUAAAGCUCUUUUACCCGAGAUGAUAAUGACAGUAUCAGGAGAAUAAGCUCCGGCUAACUCC
rnacentral:rRNA from 1 species